GACGUAGGGCGCAAGCGUUGUCCGGAAUUAUUGGGCGUAAAGAGCUCGUAGGCGGCCAGUUGCGUCUGCUGUGAAAUCCCGGGGCUCAACCCCGGGCGUGCAGUGGAUACGGGCUGGCUAGAGGCAGGCAGGGGAGAACGGAAUUCCCGGUGUAGCGGUGAAAUGCGCAGAUAUCGGGAGGAACACCGGUGGCGAAGGCGGUUCUCUGGGCCAUUACUGACGCUGAGGAGCGAAAGCGUGGGGAGCGAACAGG
rnacentral:rRNA from 1 species